rnacentral:rRNA from 1 species
GACGAACGCUGGCGGCGUGCUUAACACAUGCAAGUCGAACGGAAAGGGCCUGCUUGCAGGUUACUCGAGUGGCGAACGGGUGAGUAACACGUCGGCGACCUGCCCUGAACGUCGGGAUAAGCCUGGGAAACAGGGUUUAUUACGGGGCAGGAGCAACAAAGAGUGUGACGGUUGGAUAGCUUUUUCGGUGUAGGCUGAGCUCGCGGCCUAUCAGCUUGUUGGUGGGGUAAUGGCCUACCAAGGCGGCGAUGGGUAGCCGGCGGGUGAGGGUGGACGGUCACCCUGGGUCUGAGAGACGGCCCAGACUCCUACGGGAGGCAGCGGUGGGGAAGAUUGCACAAUGGGCGCAAGCCGGAUGCAGCGACGCCGCGUGGGGGAUGACGGCCUUCGGGUUGUAAACUCCUUUCGCUAGGGACGAUGCCUUUUGUGACGGUACCUAGAUAAGAAGCACCGGCUAACUACGUG